rnacentral:rRNA from 1 species
GACGAACGCUGUCGGCGUGCUUAACACAUGCAAGUCGAACGGAAAGGCCCUGCUUUUGUGGGGUGCUCGAGUGGCGAACGGGUGAGUAACACGUGAGUAACCUGCCCUUGACUUUGGGAUAACUUCAGGAAACUGGGGCUAAUACCGGAUAGGAGCUCCUGCUGCAUGGUGGGGGUUGGAAAGUUUCGGCGGUUGGGGAUGGACUCGCGGCUUAUCAGCUUGUUGGUGGGGUAGUGGCUUACCAAGGCUUUGACGGGUAGCCGGCCUGAGAGGGUGACCGGCCACAUUGGGACUGAGAUACGGCCCAGACUCCUACGGGAGGCAGCAGUGGGGAAUAUUGCACAAUGGGCGGAAGCCUGAUGCAGCAACGCCGCGUGCGGGAUGACGGCCUUCGGGUUGUAAACCGCUUUCGCCUGUGACGAAGCGUGAGUGACGGUAAUGGGUAAAGAAGCACCGGCUAACUACGUGCCAGCAGCCGCGGUGAUACGUAGGGUGCGAGCGUUGUCCGGAUUUAUUGGGCGUAAAGGGCUCGUAGGUGGUUGAUCGCGUCGGAAGUGUAAUCUUGGGGCUUAACCCUGAGCGUGCUUUCGAUACGGGUUGACUUGAGGAAGGUAGGGGAGAAUGGAAUUCCUGGUGGAGCGGUGGAAUGCGCAGAUAUCAGGAGGAACACCAGUGGCGAAGGCGGUUCUCUGGGCCUUUCCUGACGCUGAGGAGCGAAAGCGUGGGGAGCGAACAGGCUUAGAUACCCUGGUAGUCCACGCUGUAAACGGUGGGUACUAGGUGUGGGGUCCAUUCCACGGGUUCCGUGCCGUAGCUAACGCUUUAAGUACCCCGCCUGGGGAGUACGGCCGCAAGGCUAAAACUCAAAGGAAUUGACGGGGCCCCGCACAAGCGGCGGAGCAUGCGGAUUAAUUCGAUGCAACGCGUAGAACCUUACCUGGGUUUGACAUGGAUCGGGAGUGCUCAGAGAUGGGUGUGCCUCUUUUGGGGUCGGUUCACAGGUGGUGCAUGCCUGUCGUCAGCUCGUGUCGUGAGAUGUUGGGUUAAGUCCCGCAACGAGCGCAACCCUUGUUCACUGUUGCCAGCACGUUAUGGUGGGGACUCAGUGGAGACCGCCGGGGUCAACUCGGAGGAAGGUGGGGAUGACGUCGAGUCCUCAUGCCCCUUAUGUCCAGGGCUUCACGCAUGCUACAAUGGCUGGUACAGAGAGUGGCGAGCCUGUGAGGGUGAGCGAAUCUCGGAAAGCCGGUCUCAGUUCGGAUUGGGGUCUGCAACUCGACCUCAUGAAGUCGGAGUCGCUAGUAAUCGCAGAUCAGCAACGCUGCGGUGAAUACGUUCCCGGG